rnacentral:rRNA from 1 species
UACAGGGGGUGCAAACGUUGCUCGGAAUCAUUGGGCGUAAAGCGCACGUAGGCGGUUCGUUAUGUCGGAUGUGAAAGCCCUUGGCUUAACCGAGGAAGUGCAUCCGAAACUGGCGAGCUAGAGUACGAAAGAGGAUCGCGGAAUUCCCGGUGUAGAGGUGAAAUUCGUAGAUAUCUGGAGGAAUACCGGUGGCGAAGGCGGCAUCCUGGACCGGCAUUGACGCUGAUGAGCGAAAGCUAGGGGAGCAACGGG